rnacentral:rRNA from 1 species
GAUGAACGCUGGCGGCGUGCCUAAUACAUGCAAGUCGAGCGAACGGACGAGAAGCUUGCUUCUCUGAUGUUAGCGGCGGACGGGUGAGUAACACGUGGAUAACCUACCUAUAAGACUGGGAUAACUUCGGGAAACCGGAGCUAAUACCGGAUAAUAUUUUGAACCGCAUGGUUCAAAAGUGAAAGACGGUCUUGCUGUCACUUAUAGAUGGAUCCGCGCUGCAUUAGCUAGUUGGUAAGUUAACGGCUUACCAAGGCAACGAUGCAUAGCCGACCUGAGAGGGUGAUCGGCCACACUAGAGCUGAGACACGGUCCAGACUCCUACGGGAGGCAGCAGUAGGGAAUCUUCCGCAAUUGGCGAAAGCCUGACGGGGCAACGCCGCGUGAGUGAUGAAGGUCUUCGGAUCGUAAAACUCUGUUAUUAGGGAAGAACAUAUGUGUAAGUAACUGUGCACAUCUUGACGGUACCUAAUCAGAAAGCCACGGCUAACUACGUG